rnacentral:rRNA from 1 species
AACGAACGCUGGCGGCAUGCCUAACACAUGCAAGUCGAACGAGACCUUCGGGUCUAGUGGCGCACGGGUGCGUAACGCGUGGGAAUCUGCCCUUCGGUUCGGAAUAACUCAGGGAAACUUGAGCUAAUACCGGAUGAUGUCUUCGGACCAAAGAUUUAUCGCCGAGGGAUGAGCCCGCGUAGGAUUAGGUAGUUGGUGGGGUAAUGGCCCACCAAGCCGACGAUCCUUAGCUGGUCUGAGAGGAUGAUCAGCCACACUGGGACUGAGACACGGCCCAGACUCCUACGGGAGGCAGCAGUGGGGAAUAUUGGACAAUGGGCGAAAGCCUGAUCCAGCAAUGCCGCGUGAGUGAUGAAGGCCUUAGGGUUGUAAAGCUCUUUUACCAGGGAUGAUAAUGACAGUACCUGGAGAAUAAGCUCCGGCUAACUCCGUGCCAGCAGCCGCCGCGG